rnacentral:rRNA from 1 species
CGGAGCAUGCGGAUUAAUUCCGAUGCAACGCGAAGAACCUUACCAAGGCUUGACAUAUAGAGGAAAACUGCAGAAAUGUAGUCCCCGCAAGGUCUCUAUACAGGUGGUGCAUGGUUGUCGUCAGCUCGUGUCGUGAGAUGUUGGGUUAAGUCCCGCAACGAGCGCAACCCUCGUCCUAUGUUGCCAGCACGUUAUGGUGGGAACUCAUGGGAGACUGCCGGGGUCAACUCGGAGGAAGGUGGGGAUGACGUCAAAUCAUCAUGCCCCUUAUGUCUUGGGCUACACGCAUGCUACAAUGGCCGGUACAAAGGGCUGCAAUACCGCAAGGUGGAGCGAAUCCCAAAAAGCCGGUCUCAGUUCGGAUUGAGGUCUGCAACUCGACCUCAUGAAGUCGGAGUCGCUAGUAAUCGCAGAUCAACAACGCCUGCGGUGAAUACGUUCCCGGGCCUUGUACACACCGCCCGUCAAGUCACGAAA